rnacentral:rRNA from 1 species
ACGGAAGGCAGCAGUAGGGAAUAUUGCACAAUGGGGGAAACCCUGAUGCAGCAACGCCACGUGUGGGAAGAAGCAUUUCAGUGUGUAAACCACUGUCGUGAAGGAAUAAUGCUGGACCUCGGUCCAGCUGAAUGUACUUUGAAAGGAAGCACCGGCAAACUUCGUGCCAGCAGCCGCGGUAAUACGAGGGGUGCAAGCGUUGUUCGGAAUCACUGGGCGUAAAGGGAGCGUAGGCGGAGACGCAAGCAGUCUGUACAAUACCGGGGCCCAACCCCGGACCUGCAGACUGGACUGUGUCUCUUGGAUAGUUCAGGGGCAGGCGGAAUUCCUGGUGUAGCGGUGGAAUGCGUAGAGAUCAGGAAGAACACCGAUGGCGAAGGCAGCCUGCUGGGGACUCAUCGACGCUGAGGCUCGAAGGUGCGGGUAGCAAACAGGAUUAGAUACCCUGGUA